rnacentral:rRNA from 1 species
GCUCAGGAUGAACGCUAGCUACAGGCUUAACACAUGCAAGUCGAGGGGCAGCAUGGUCUUAGCUUGCUAAGGCCGAUGGCGACCGGCGCACGGGUGAGUAACACGUAUCCAACCUGCCGUCUACUCUUGGACAGCCUUCUGAAAGGAAGAUUAAUACAAGAUGGCAUCAUGAGUCCGCAUGUUCACAUGAUUAAAGGUAUUCCGGUAGACGAUGGGGAUGCGUUCCAUUAGAUAGUAGGCGGGGUAACGGCCCACCUAGUCUUCGAUGGAUAGGGGUUCUGAGAGGAAGGUCCCCCACAUUGGAACUGAGACACGGUCCAAACUCCUACGGGAGGCAGCAGUGAGGAAUAUUGGUCAAUGGGCGAGAGCCUGAACCAGCCAAGUAGCGUGAAGGAUGACUGCCCUAUGGGUUGUAAACUUCUUUUAUAAAGGAAUAAAGUCGGGUAUGCAUACCCGUUUGCAUGUACUUUAUGAAUAAGGAUCGGCUAACUCCGUGCCAGCAGCCGCGGUAAUACGGAGGAUCCGAGCGUUAUCCGGAUUUAUUGGGUUUAAAGGGAGCGUAGAUGGAUGUUUAAGUCAGUUGUGAAAGUUUGCGGCUCAACCGUAAAAUUGCAGUUGAUACUGGAUAUCUUGAGUGCAGUUGAGGCAGGCGGAAUUCGUGGUGUAGCGGUGGAAUGCUUAGAUAUCACGAAGAACUCCGAUUGCGAAGGCAGCCUGCUAAGCUGCAACUGACAUUGAGGCUCGAAAGUGUGGGUAUCAAACAGGAUUAGAUACCUUGGUAGUCCACACGGUAAACGAUGAAUACUCGCUGUUUGCGAUAUACAGCAAGCGGCCAAGCGAAAGCGUUAAGUAUUCCACCUGGGGAGUACGCCGGCAACGGUGAAACUCAAAGGAAUUGACGGGGGCCCGCACAAGCGGAGGAACAUGUGGUUUAAUUCGAUGAUACGCGAGGAACCUUACCCGGGCUUAAAUUGCAGAUGAAUUACGGUGAAAGCCGUAAGCCGCAAGGCAUCUGUGAAGGUGCUGCAUGGUUGUCGUCAGCUCGUGCCGUGAGGUGUCGGCUUAAGUGCCAUAACGAGCGCAACCCUUGUUGUCAGUUACUAACAGGUUCCGCUGAGGACUCUGACAAGACUGCCAUCGUAAGAUGUGAGGAAGGUGGGGAUGACGUCAAAUCAGCACGGCCCUUACGUCCGGGGCUACACACGUGUUACAAUGGGGGGUACAGAGGGCCGCUACCACGCGAGUGGAUGCCAAUCCCAAAAACCUCUCUCAGUUCGGACUGGAGUCUGCAACCCGACUCCACGAAGCUGGAUUCGCUAGUAAUCGCGCAUCAGCCACGGCGCGGUGAAUACGUUCCCGGGCCUUGUACACACCGCCCGUCAAGCCAUGGGAGCCGGGGGUACCUGAAGUGCGUAACCGCGAGGAGCGCCCUAGGGUAAAACUGGUG